AGCAUAGACAACGUCGCAUGUGUUUGUGGAUUUUGAUUUAUGGAUGUUAUGCUCUGAUGUACGGUUCUUUCACGCACUGGCAACAUAAUGUGGCAUUAUAAUGUCGCAUGUCACACACACACACGCGAGAAGAUAGUGUGUAUGCGUGUUUGAUUAAAUCCUCUACCCAUCGAACAUGCAACAGCUGAGCCAAUCUAGACAUGCUGCUCUGUAGGAUUGGAUCAAUCCCAGCGAGCUACAUUUUGAAUGUGGGAUCUACAAGUUUAUUUCAAACAGCUCCCUGAAUGUUUCUUCGCAAUCGAUAAAUAUCGAUCAUUCAACUAUGCCUUUGAGUUUAUUAGAGCGAGAGACAUUAAAUUUUGCAUAAAUUUAAAUACCAUCUUGAAGCCAUGAAAGUAAACAGUAAACAAUAGCAGGAGGGUAUUUGCUAGUCGGUGCCACUCGCCUAGAGAACUCUACUGGCUUGUUAUGAAUUUAUUGUGUGACGGAAGUUGGGGACCCACUUGAAGUCGCUCUUCAACUUUAUAAAUAUUUGCAUGCCAAUGGCCCCAGCAGAUACUGCUAAUUGGCAGCGCGAAACCUACAGACGGCAUUUCAUAUCUUUUGGCACUUUCAACUUAAGGGCAAACAUAUCAUAAACACUCUGACAGGCACGCUGAGGCUCGCUUUGAUAAGUAGCCAACCUGUGGUGAAUGUGCCGCAGAUAAGAGAAGCAAAAGAUGAUGAACGGAAAUGCAAUAUUGGAUAUCGGGUUGGCAUGAAAUU